GUCUGUAUGGCGUAGUGGUCAACGCAUCUGCCUAGUAAGCAGGAGAACCUGGUUCGAAUCCCAGUACGGCACA